rnacentral:lncRNA from 1 species
CGUCAUCAUCUAAAUUCCCCUAUUUCCUCUCCUUCCUUAUUCUCCGGGCAACUAACUGCCCAUACUUCCCUCUUCCACGACCUCCCCUCCUCCUCUUCUGUUUUCCAUUACAUUGUUUCGGUUUCACAGUCCUGCAUCCCCUCCGCAAGGCUACAACUCUUCGUAGGAGAAGCCUUUUCCCGGACCCCUGUUCCUGUUUUCAACUUUAAAAACCCUUCGAUUAAUCUUGUGGAGCGCGGCGGUGAAACUCAAUAAGGUAUAUACUCAUCUCAACUUUUCAAUUUGAUUGUUUCAACUUACUUACUAGUAUUGCAUCGCGGUUGUGGCUACACAAGUUCAAUUUUAUUUUUUCAGUUCAGAUAUCCAAGCUCUCUUAUGUCGGUUCUUACUCGAGUUCUCCUAAUUCAAGAUGAGUGAUUGCUUCAGAUC